AUGGAGCUCUUCCAAGGGGAGGAGCCGGCCCACGACUUCCUCUCGCUCCGCGCCGGGGGCUCGUCGGCGUUCCAGCACAGGCAGCGCUCCGGCCAGCAAGGCCCGAAGUCGCUUGAGCCAGCCAGCGGCGGCGGCACGGCCAGUUCCGCGGCAGGUUUGGGGCAGCACGUGCUGCCGGGCGGCGUCGGGACCUUCAGCAUCAGGCAACUGCCUGACGCUCAGCCGAGGGAGGAGGCUGGCACUGGCAGGGAACCGUCUGUUUCGGUGUCUCAUGGCUCCAGAAUGGAGACUGCGCAUGAGGCACGGUCCGGAAUUAUGGUUCGUAGUGCUCCACCCACACCCGCAAUGUGGCAAGAUUCUAGCACCGACAACAAGAGAUCUAGAGGGUCGAGAGCAGAGGGGAGAAGCAGCGGCAGCAGUGCCGAUCAGGAUCCCAGCAGCCCGAGAUCGAAGCAUUCCGCUACCGAGCAGCGGCGGAGGACCAAGAUAAAUGACAGGCUUGACGUACUCCGCGACCUCCUGCCGAACUGUGAUCAGAAGAGGGAUAAAGCUUCUUUCCUUCUGCAGGUUAUUGAGUACAUAAGGCUCUUGCAAGAGAAAUGCCAAAAAUAUGAGUCAGGCAUUCCAGAACAGAACGACGUCGAUGCCAACUGCAUGCCAUGGGACAAAGUGUACUACAGAUCACGUUGGAGGAACACGCAGAACAUCAGUCAAGUCCAAGGAGGAGGCUUAUCAGCUACCACAGAGGAGGACAUGAACAAAGAGCAAUACAGUUCCAAAGGCAUUGCAAGUGCACCUGCUGCUUCUCUCUUCAACACACAAAGUGCAAGAGAAAUCAGCACAGCCCCCAGUUCCUCCCAGAACAUAGCAGAGAACAGUAUGCCUACCAAUCAGCUACCGUGGCUAAGUAUGUCAACCAUGAACCAAAACUGCGAUGCAAGCAACGGACUGCUAAGCAAGCAUGAUACACAAAUGCCGCAAGAUGACAGCCAGAGUCUUUCAAGUGCUUACUCCCAAGGGUUGUUACAUAAACUGAAAGAAGCUCUUCAGAGGUCGGGAGUAGACCCAUCUCAAACUAAAAUAUCCGUAGAGAUCAAUAUGGAUAGACGGGCCAGAGCCAAUGCUCAUAUACAUGACAGUUCAAAGGCUAACGAAGGCAAAGAACCUGUCCAGGUAGCCAAGAGGCUGCGGUGCGACUGA
rnacentral:rRNA from 1 species